rnacentral:SRP_RNA from 1 species
GCCAGGCGUGGUGGUGCAUGCCUGUAGUCCCAGCUACUCGGAGGCUAAGGCUGGAGGAUCGCUUGAGUCCAGGAGUUCUGGGCUGUAGUGUGCUAUGCUGAUCAGGUGUCCAUACUCAGUUCAGCAUCAAUAUGGUGAUCUCCUGGGAGCGGGGGACCACCAUGUUGCCUAAGGAGGGUUGAACUGGCCCAGGUUGGAAAUGGAACAGGUCAAAACUCCCAUGCUGAGCAGUAGUGGGAUCUCGUGCCUAUGAAUAGCCACUGUACUCCAGCCUGGGCAACACAGCAGACCCCAUCUUA